UAGUUUUAAAUACAUUUUUUAUGCGAAAAUAUUUUCCAAAAUAUUUAAAUCUUUUAAAAUAAUGGAAAGAAAAUGCAAUUCCGGUCUAAACUCAUCAUCAGCCUGGACCUCACCAGGGAGAGCUACAAAAUUUUUGUCAGCGUUUUCCGAUCAAUUUUUGCCGCUAUCGGCUUAUCAGAUCUUUUAAUUCUCCAGCACCGAGGUUUUGGAAAGCUGUUUUUUUAUUCCAUGGAAGCUGGUAACAAUGGCUCACACCAUUUUAGAAAGGCUCUUUUGGGAGCUCUGAAGGACUCCACAAAAGUUGGACUAGCAAAAGUCAAUAGUGAAAACAAGGAACUAGACAUUGCAGUUGUCAAGGCAACAAACCAUUUUGAAGUACCGCCCAAGGAAAAACAUGUACGAAGUGAG